CUAUGGAAAAUUCUUGGGAAACUAUUCCUGCCUUGACAUAGGCCUACAUUUCAUUGUUCAUUUUGUCUUUCAUUCAAACUACAUGGAUCUCAUAAAUGCAAUCUGAUGCUUUAAUUUGUAUGCAGCGCUUCCAUACAGUCAUGGGUGUUCAUGAUCUCUGCAGGCCUCCAAGCUGCUGCCAGGUUGCAUUAUGUAUAUUUCUCAUUGUAUUGGCUUUUAGAUGAACAUGUCUCUACACCAACUGCCCCCCAAGCUGCUGCCAGCUGCUCUUCUUCUUGUGCUUGAAACGACCGGCAGCAUACUCUUCGGCAUGCAUUGAUGUUUUUGAAACUUUUUUUUUAAAACGAAGUUCGGCAUGCAUUGAUAGAGAACGAGACAGUGCGACGUACGGUACGGUGUCUCGCCGUAUCCUACUGUAGAGACACAUGCCUGAUGUCUCCGAGCUUCCCAAGACCUUCAUCACCACGGUUUCCUCCGGUGCCGCCAAACCCACAUUAAGAACAGAACAGGACGGCGGAGAAGGCAAGCAAACAAAGCAAGAGAGGAGGGGAGGAAGGAGAGCGGCGGAAGCGGCAGCAAGCAACGGACCGAUCUGGAGGACGGUGCCGAAGACAGCGCCGGCUCCACCCCCGCCGUGCGCGAAGGCCCAGGCGCUGAGCGCGCCGGCGAGGAGCAGCGCCGCGCCGAAUCCGACCCCGCGGCCAGCGAGGCGGCGCUCCCGCGCUUGAGGUAGCCGGCGACGCCGCCGGCGAGGACCACCAGGCCGUAGGGGAUCGUGACGUGGAAGUCCUCCAUGCUGACGCCGCCCUCUCCUCCGCCUCUCGUGCUCGGGAUCCCCUCGUCUCCCGAGUCUCUCUCCGCGGUUGGUUGUUUCGGACAUUUGGAUAAGAGACGAAUUUAUUAAUUCUAAGUAAUAUAUUAUUAGCGUAUAUUUACUGUAGCAAAUAUCGCGAAUUAGUCUCCAUUUAUAUAAUAAAUUCUAUAAUUAGUCUAUAUUUAAUAUUUCUAAUCGGUAAAUAUUUAAUGGGAUAGAAUUAAAUUUUAGUUCCGCGAAAAAGCAGGCCGUGCUAGGCUGCUGACUUGCUGAGUGCUAGGUGCUGGACUGCAGGGUGCUAUUACGAGUUACACUGCGACUAGCAGUUAAAGUGUCAUAUAGUUAUAUUUUUUAAAAUCGUAUAUUUAAAUUAAAAUCCUACUGCACCACUGUAUUCUCUGUGAUGAAAUCUUUCGAAUAAGAUCACAUUUGGCUGAUUUUUUUGAACAUUUUUUUUAGUGCGGAAUAAUUUUUUUUGUUGAUGGAACAAAAUAUUCCAUCCGCUUCCGCUGCUGAGCUGAGUGGACUGGCCCAUGGGCUCAUGGCAGUGAGGUGGAGAGGGCCUCGCUUGGUGAGCUAACUUGGGCUGGCUCUGCUCCUUGGGCCUCCGUGAUCUGCCCAGUCAAUAACCAUCUAGACGCCCUGCAGAAUUCCCGACGGGGGUGGUUCCCCGGCGUCAACGGAACAAGUACCGACGCCGCCGCCAGGCCUUGACACGCUUAGCCCAUCCUCGAGUGCCAGUGCGCCACGGCUCGCAAGCGGUCAGGCACUCGAGCCUCGAGCAGCAGUUCUUCUUCGCCGCCUUCUCUGCACCCCUUUUUCCUUGGCUCCGGCGGCUUCAACGGCGAUGAGAUGCAUACUGCCCUCUGUCAGGGAGCGGUUCGUUCACAACCUCAACACUGGUCUUACACGUGGUGGAAAAAAAAUGAUCACGUGUUUUGACAAGCUGCGCACGGCGCGACGCUAGCUUUUCCACCUGCCCGCGUGGGUUUCACCAGGUAUGUCAGCCCAGGUUGCUGUUCCACCUCUGAAUAAUCGGAGAAGAAACAUAGAAACGAGCAAGCACACCUGCGACUUUUCUUCUGGUGUUGGCAGUAUAUAUACGGGUCACCUGCGACGCCACUCCUCAUCCUCAGUUACCAGACGCUAGCUAGCUAGCUAGUUCUGAGUUCUCCGACAAUGGAUCUCUCCCUUGUCCUAGCGCUCGUCGCCGUCGCCUUAUCCGUUCUCUUCCUCCUCGUGACGAGGGCCAGGAAGCCAUGGCAGCGGGGCAAGCUGCCCCCGGGCUCGCUCGGCCUGCCGGUGAUCGGCCAGAGCCUCGGCCUCCUCCGCGCCAUGCGCGCCAACACCGCCGAGCGGUGGAUCCAGGACCGCGUCGACCGGUACGGCCCCGUGUCCAAGCUGUCGCUCUUCGGCAUCCCCACGGUGCUCCUCACGGGGCCCGCGGCCAACAAGUUCGUCUUCUUCAGCACCGCGCUGGCGUCGCAGCAGCCCCGGUCCAUGCAGCGGAUCCUGGGGGAGCGGAACAUCCUCGAGCUCAUGGGCGCCGACCACAAGCGCGUCCGCGGCGCGCUCCUCGAGUUCCUCAAGCCGGACAUGCUGCGGCUGUACGUGGGCAAGAUCGAGGGCGAGGUGCGCCGCCACCUCGACGAGAACUGGGCCGGCCGCCGGACCGUCACCGUGCUGCCCCUCAUGAAGAGGCUCACGUUCGACAUCAUCUCCCUGCUGCUCUUCGGCCUCGAGAGGGGCGCCGUCCGGGACACCCUCUUCCGCGAGUUCGUGGACGUCAUGGAGGGCACCUGGGCCGUCCCGCUGAACCUGCCGUUCACGGCCUUCAGCCGGAGCCUCAAGGCGAGCGCCAGGAUUCACCGGGUGUUCACCGGGAUCGCGAGGGAGACGCAGGCCAAGCUGGAGCGGGGAGAGGCAUCACGGAGCAGCGACCUCAUCGCGUGCCUCCUCAGCUUGACCGACGACAGCGGCGCGCCGCUGCUGAGCGAGGAGGAGAUCGUGGACAACGCCAUGGUCUCCCUCAUCGCAGGCCACGACACGUCCUCCAUCCUUCUCACCUUUUUGAUCCGCCAGCUCGCCGACGAUCCUGACACUCUCGCCGCCAUGGUCCACGGUAACAAUCCCGAUCGGUGAACGCGGGCAUCGAUCACCUCACCACCAUGCCUUGACUAGAACGUUUGACCACGCACGCACGCCAUGGCCAUGCAUGCCCAUCCCUUACUCGACCAUUAUUCGCUGUGCAGAGCACGACGAGAUCGCCAAGAGCAAGGGCGACGGCGAGGCCCUGACCUGGGAGGACCUUGCGAAGAUGAAGCUCACGUGGCGCGCCGCGCAGGAGAUGCUCCGCAUGGUGCCCCCGGUCUUCGGCAACUUCAGGCGAGCGACCAAAGACAUGGAGUUCGACGGCUACGUCAUCCCCAAAGGGUGGCAAGUGUUCUGGACGGCGGCCGCGACGCACAUGGACGGGAGCAUCUACCCCGAGCCGGACAAGUUCAACCCGUCCCGGUUCGAGACCCAGUCGGCGUCAGUGGCGCCGCCGUGCUCGUUCGUCGCCUUCGGUGCCGGCCCGAGGAUCUGCGUCGGCAUGGAGUUCGCCAGGAUCGAGACGCUGGUGGCGCUGCAUUACCUGCUGAGGCGCUUCAGGUGGAAGCUCUGCUGCAAGGACAACACCUUCGUCAGGGACCCCGGGCCGUCGCCGCUGCACGGCCUGCCGAUAGAGCUUGAGCACAAGGCGGCAUCGCCAUGAUCAGAUACGAUCGAUCGUGGACGAGAAAAUAAUAAUAUACUCCCACUUCAGAGAUACGUGGCGAUGUUGAUUCGUCACCACGGAUCCCUGCAUAUGGUCUAGAGUUAUAUAAAAACUUUGACCGCUGUUUUAGCUGGAAUGAAGUUAUAUAUAGUAUCUAAAUAUAUAUAUAUAUAUAUACCAUAUAUAUAUAUAUGGUAUUGUGAAAGCACGUUUUCAAGAUAAAUAUUCAUAUGUUUUUAUGGUGCGAACUAAAUAUUUCAAGAUUAUGGAUGGUCUAAGUUUGUUAAGAGCUCAAUCGAGUAUAGCCAAAAACAUAAGAAAGUGAUAUACUAAACCUUUGUUUUUAAAUAUAUGACCUUUCAUCUUUUGUAUAAGUAUUUUAUGCAAAUAGAUAGAUAAAUCGACAAGUAUGAAUAAAGUACAUUUGAUAAUAAAUGUGUAUAAUAAUUAUUUUACGUGGCUAAUUUGUGAAAUCACGUGUCAAGAGUGUCAAAAAAGAUACAAAUUUCUCUACCGGGCCUCAAUUAUCAACAGCACCGGCGCGGAGACGGCCCACCAGGCUUCAACUUCCUACAUCCUGGCAGCACGGAGCGGAGCGUGCAUCCGUCCGGACUUGGAUCGAUUAUUUCCUUCAUUUGCUGGUGACUAAACUAACCCUUAGGGGAUCUGUUUGAUGCUUGGUUCCCUGUUGAACUGUCAUAAUCUGAAAUCCAUCCAUGUAUGGUUUCAUCAGGUUUCCCCCACGGUGCAGGUGCAGUUUAAUUUUUCAAAGAAUUGUUGGAUUCAACUGAAACCAUGCGGGAUUGUGCAAAUAAAACAAUAAAUCCUUCAGAUUUUCCCGGAAUAUUUCAGAACCUGUGUGAUUCGAUUUCGAGGUAAUUUUCGAGUCAGAUUAGGUAUCUUCAUAAAUAAAUUCGACUUUCGAGUCUUUAAGAGAAUAACAUCGUAUUUUGUGCAUAAACUCAAGCCUUGGGCCCCUGAGGUGGUAAAAUUAGAACUUCGGCGCGCUUUCAGCCUGCCAGGUCAUUCAUGGAGUUAAACAACGGACAGAGUCAGGUGAGCCCUCUCUCUCAGUAUUUCAGUACGUAUCAGAAGUAGCUUAGCAGGAUGUUCUUUUUCUUGUUUCUAUGUGAAUUGCGGUAGAGCUCACCUAAGAUUUGAAGCAAAAGGCAUUCGAGUCACCUGAUUAGAAACCCAAAAGAUUUUUAGUCAUGUUUUAGUUCUUUCAGAAAGGGGAGGAUGAAGAUAGGUUCAGCAUGCUGUCUGACGAUAUUUUACUGUCCAUCUUGGCGAGAGUCAGCAUAACUACCGCUGCAAGGACAAGUGUCUUGUCAACACGGUAGAAACACCUGCCAUGGUUGCUCCGCGAGAUCACGAUUGACGUCAAAGAUUUUUUACCUACCCCACACCCUGACCAAAGCGAUAAGGAGCUUCUUGGGUACCCCCCAGAGCGAAGCUACCAUCUCAAGGCUGCAACUUGAACUCUAUUUGAUCAACAAUUACUCAGAUGUUGUUGGCCCUCUACUUGGUGAAGCGAUUGACUUUGGGACUCUUUAAAGAUUUAGACCUUGCCAUUGUGGAUGAGGAGGAGCCUGCUGACUGCAAUGAUGAGCAUAUGCUCCAUCAAGCUUCUGCUGUUGAUGGCUUCUUCAGUGCCUAUCCUAGUGUGAUCCAUUGCCUUACAAGACUCUCAUUGGAUUAUGUUUGUUUUGCUAAAUGGGACAUGCAUCACCUCCAAUUUGACUGUUGCAAGCAACUUCAGUCUCUCUUACUCACCAACUGUGAUAUGGGAAGACUCUCGGUAUGAAAGAUCCAAGCACCAGACUCGCAUCUUGCUGUUCUGGAACUCCAAACCUGCUGCUUCGGGAAACUUGAGGUGCUACACCUUCCAAAACUAGAACGACUUUGUUGGGAUGGCUGGAUUUGUCCAAAUGCCCCCCUGUCACUUGGUGUUGUCCCAUCCCUUACGGAGCUGCACCUCAUAUGUGCUGCGACUGAUGUUUUCCAAGGAUUCAAGUUAAGCGAUGUUCUAAGAGAUACCACGACUCUACAUAACCUAACAUUAAGUUUCCAAGGAGAGAAGGUAAAUCUAUGUUGAGUUUCAUGCACUGCUCUUGCCGCUUAUUAUGACGUUUAUAGCCAUGUAGGUGUGUCAUCUUAUACGCUCUUAUUAGAAGGAUCUGUGUUCAGUGUUAUGCCUAAAGUGACACUUGAAUAUUGUACCAUGUAGCUUUAUCUGGUACAUGCCUUCAUUUUGUUUAUAACCACUAAAAGUAUGGAGCAAUACUAUCUGCGAUUGUCCAGUAGCAGCAGACGAAUUAUCAAACAACUGGCCUAAUUGAACACAGUUGAUCUGUAUAAGAACAUAGCAGUCACCUUUUGUUCUCGUACAAUGCACAUCUUUUUGGUUAGCUUUGGUUGCAACCAGAAGGAGAACAACUCUGCACUGUGUUCAACAAACUAAGGAAGCUAUCACUACACGACAUAUUUGUCGAUUUUGAUCUGCUAUGGACAAUAGUUCUUCUUGAAGCUGCACCAUCCGUUGAGAUAUUUGAGGUUGAGGUACCUAUUUCAGUAGACUGAGGUCAACAAAUCUUUCCUUUAAUCUUUUUUUUUAAGGAAUCCACUCACCCUAGAACUAUGUAUAUAUAACAUUGUGUACAUUUCUGGAUACAGGUAUGGGAGCAUCCAUGUAUAGUGGAUGAUGAGGAGAGAAGGCAGAAUUAUAGUGAAAGAAUAAAUCCUUCGUGGAAGGUGGAUGAGUUUGCAACCCAUGAAGAAUGGCUAUUAAAAGAGUUACAAGUUAUUGGAUUUGCCCCAAUGGAGCAGCAGCUGACCUUUAUAAGGACUGUGAUGAACCGGGCUCCCAACUUACGAACCCUUGUCCUGAAAGAUUACCCGUCUUGUGAGGACUGUGAGGAGAUAGGUGCUCUGCCUCGUUCUGAAAGAUUGCCAAAAGAGCACGAAUUCCCAAAGGGCACGGAUGAACAAGAUGUGGUAGUCAAGCAGCUGGUUGGAGAGAUCGCCAGCCCUCAUCUUCAGAUGAUUUUUGUGGAUCAAUAGUUGGUUGGCUCUAUUUCCUUUGGACAGUAGUGUGGAACUCUUAUUUAUUUGAUGAUAGAAGUAUUCAUAACUUUCAAAUUUAUUAUGGUGCUUGGUUUCCUUGCUCGGUAAAUGUAUUUGUGGGGAGAUCAGAGGAUCGUUUGGUUUUGACUGCUUAGUCUAUCUGAUAGAUGAAACAUGUGAUAUUUGAAAAAAAAAUGACAGUGGAUGUAACCUUUCUUUACAGUUGUAUUUUAUCCUAUUUUAUUCCAUUAUGAUGAAAGUAGUUAGGGCCAGUUUGGUAGAGCUCCCAGAGCUGAUUCUCUGCUGAAUCCAGCAAGAGCUCUGCCAAACAGUUUUUCAGAGAGAAGUGAUUCUCUGCUGAUUCUGUGGAGUGAUUCUCUGAAAUGAACUAAGAGGCUGGGAACUGAAAAAAGUAGCUUCUCCUGAUUCUGUGAAGUGAUUCUCCAUUCUGAUUUUAAAAAUUUAUGCUAGAGAAUCAUCUUCAGCUACAGAAUCACUUCUCUCAGAGAAUCAGCUCCCACGGAUAAUCAGGAUCAUUCGGCCGAAGGAGGAGCGGGUGGACCUUAACGGGCCUCGAAGCUAUGGCUCGUAUCUGGCUUCUACAAGCCAGAUAGGAGGCCCCGUCUUUAUCCUACGAUGAUUGAAAGUACUAGUUAGGCCUUCCUGCGAUCCGUUUCGUAUCUUUGAUCAAGGGCUCACAAUUGAUAUUCAAAGUUCCUUGGCUCGUCAGGUAUCUUGUACUACAGUUUAAGCUUUUCCUGAUCAGGAGAUGUAGUGCGCAAAAUUUACGCAGCAAGGAAAAUUUGUUGACACGACGAAACGGCAUGUGUCGUUUCAGCACGGCGCUACAGUACUCUCUUUUUCUUUUAUUGCGGCGCGCGGGCCCCGGCCAGACAGAGGGCAACUGAGACCACGGGGCGUUUCUGCGCUUGCGAAAGACGAUCUCCAAAGUCCCAUUCCAUCGACCACAAACUGCAUUUUCACUGAAGUACUGAACUAUAGAUAGAUGUACACGAUGUUACAGACGUGCGUCUGCAAAGAAUGUUUGUUUGGCCACAGCCCACAGGGGCUAGUGCAAAGAAUCUUUGAAGCCUACACACAAGUGCGCAAUCACACACGGCACGAUCACGUGCAAGCCAGAGGAACCUUGCCUGGUAACCUUGGCUGGGCUCCACCGGCUGACUCGUUGACGAGGGAUCUUAGACUGUCUCCAGCGGCGUUCCCUAAAACGUCCUGUACUCUAUAUAUAGAGGAAGAUUCCAUUCUCUAUUGCUCCAGCAGCGUUCUCUAAAUGGUCCUUUAAAAUAGAGAACGCUACAGGUUUCCUCUAUAUAUAGAGAUUCUCUCUCCUCUUCUCUAUUUUUUCUUUACAUUUCAAACACUGAAUUAAAUAAAAAUAAAAUAUGUCCAUAGCGUUUGAGGUAUGAUAAAUACGUACGUACAAAAAUUUGGAACAAAAUACGUUUCUAAUAUAGGGUUUAAUGUAUAGAGAACGAGAUUUAGAGAACGUUGUUGGAGAGAAAUAAGAUAUAGAGGAGAGAAUCUUGUAGAGAAUUCUGUAAAUGAAGGAUGUAGAGAAUGAGAUUUGGAAGAUAUGGCUGGAGACAGCCUUAGGCGUUAAGCAAGCACACACCACACACCAAAAAAGAAGCGAAAGUACACAUGAGAGCGUGAGCGUGACAUGACCGGUGACACAUUUGAUGGCGUAGGCUACUGUGACGUAGGCCGAUCCUUUAUAAAACGGCUCGGCGUCAGGAACCGAUCAACCGGCGUUGCGCCGCCGCCGCCGACCACGCGAACCGCCGCCGGUGACCGCGGGCAUCGGUGGCGGGCAAUCUGCCAGCGCUGCGCACCCGCGCGGGAGGGCAUCUGGAUCUGGGUGGUGCUGAUAGAAAAAAAAAAGAAUUUCAGUUUUAAAUUAAUCUGAAAAUAAAUUAUGACCAUGACGAAAAUUGCGUACAGAAAACGAACAUAUGUAAACAUGCUCACCAAGUGAUCUAAGAUAAAAAUAUUGCAGCAGUAAGAUCAACCCUAAUAAGAUCAUACUAGGUAUGAAAGACAUUGUUAGGGAUAGAAAACCGUACGUUUCUAGCCUGAUCGGAAUAACCGGGUAAAGAAGACGACGGCGACGAUCAGCACCUCCGUGCGCUUGACGACGUCGAGUCGCGCCCCACUGACGAGGAGGAAGACGAGCCAUGGCGACGAGGACGUAGAGGAUGGCGAUGUAGAAGCGUUCGAACUAGGGAUGGCAACGGGUCGGGUUCGGGUCGGGUAGAGCAAAUACCCGGCCGCGAGCGUACCAGCGGCCACAGCUCAUACCCGCCCGCGAGUAUACCCGCGGGUAAAAUCUAGUACCCAUGCCCGAACCCGUUUCGGGCCGGUUUCGGGUACCCGUCGGGUUUUCAAAAACGGCGCUGGUGCAGGGGGCUAACUGGGCAACUGGCUGAGGGGCCGGGGCGGAGGGCGGCGGCCUGCGCGACUGCGCCUGGCGGCCGGGGCGGCGGGCGCCAGGCGGUUCUUGCGCCCAGCGGGCGGGGCAAGGGGCGGCGGGCGACGGCCUGGGCGGCGCCUGCGCCCAGCGGCCAGGGCGGCGGGCGGCGGCCUGGGCCCUGGGAGGCUGGGACGGGGUCACGGGGAGGGUGGUGGCUGGUCUCGUAGUGGGGUGGGUGGUGGAGGUGGAGUGGUGCUGUGGUGGUCUGGUGGAUAGGGUUGAGAUUUAAGAGUUAGGAUUUUUAGUGGGCUGGGCCAAAUCUAAAUAUGGGCUGAAUUCGGUAACCCAUCGGGUACCCGCGGGCGGGAAUUAAGACCCGCGCCCGACCCGAUUUUCUCGCGGGUCGGGUUCGGGUAAGACCCACGGGUCAAAAUACGUACCCAGACCCGUGCCCGUCAGGUCGGGUACCCGCGGGUAACCCGAACCCGCGGGUUAAAUUACCAUCCCUAGUUCGAGCAGUCGCGCAGAGCGCUUCCAAAAACCUUAUUCGCUCUCUCCCGGUGCAGAAUCGCUGAGUACGAGGUUCCGCAGACCUGCUCUCCCGAUCGCCGGUGCACGCCGAUGAACGGGAUGAAAUAGCGUAUGCGGCGGCGUAGUAGGCAGGUUGAGGCGUGUUGUGCUCUUCUGUAUUUUUUUCUAGCACCUGCGCAUAUUUAUAGGAAGAAACUACGAGAGUUUUUGGCGUCCCAAAAAUCAAGUUAGUUACGAGUUCCGAAAAUUCCGCGUGUGAAAUCCGUAACAGAUUCGAAGUGGCAAAAUCAAUCUGCAAAAGGAAGCCGCGUGCCCGCAAGGAUUGGAUCGGAUUUUGGCGGACCAUUCACGCGCACGUCCCGAACCCGGCCCAGCGAGGCGAGGCGAGCGCGCGCCUCUUCUUUCUUCCUCUCACCCACACUUGUAAGAGCAUGGAGAGCAUCCAAAAAUUUUCUCCACCUUUUCUAGCAAGGUGAGACUAACUUAUUACCAUUCACGUAGUUAUGGACGUUUAAGAUUUUAUUAGAAUUAUUUGGAUUUACGCGGUGGGCUUUUGAACUGAUGCGUCCAAAUAUUGCAACAGGUGCUCCUCGUGCGAUUCGGCGGAGUGUCUUCUCAGGACGAGUGGACGGCGGCGCCACAGUACUUUUUGCGGCGCGCGGGCCCCGGCCAGAUGUCGCCAGCGCCAGGCAGAGCGCGUCGACGACGUGGCGGCAACUGAGAUCACGGGCGCUUGCGGAAGAAAAUCUCAAAAAUCCCAACAAAAUGCGUAUUUUACUGAACUAUAGAUGUGUAAAAGGAUGUUUGGCUAAGUGCAAAGCAAGGGCAAAUGCAAAGAAUCUUUGAAGCACACACGCCGAUGUGCCCGUACGUGCAGAGUUUUAUAAUUUUCCGUCACGGGCAAGGCAAAGGAGACUUGCAAGACUUGGAGUCAAUCAAGUAAAGAAACGCUGCAGAUCAGGGGCCACCGCUAUCAGGAAAUUCGCUUGAACUUGCUUUGCCACCGCUCCCUCUGCUUUUCUUCGCCGACCAAGUGGAGAACACUUGGCUCGCCGCCUACAAGAACCAGCCAUUUGUCAAAGAGCACGACGCACCAGAACACCACAUCGCACUACUCCCGUGUACAGCGCUGCCAGCACAACGCGCCAGCAGGGAGCCGCCAGCGAGCCAUGGAUCAACUGCCCCUUGCCGCGCCGGCCGCCGCUGCGUCGCUGUCGCCGUCCCAGGGCGCCGGGAGGGCGCUCGACGCGUACAAGACGGCGCUGGCCACGGCGGCCUCGGCCGCCGCGUACGCCGUGAUGGCGCGCAGCAUGGCGCGGGAGCUGCUCCCCGACGAGCUCCGCGCUGCGGUGCGGUGGUGCGCGGCGGCCGCGCGCGCCCGGUUCGGCCGCGGCGACAGGGAGCGCCGCACCGUCGUCAUCCGCCGCCAGUUCGACACAAGGUACGGCGAGAACCACCUCUUCGACGCGGCGCGCGCGUAUCUGGCAACCCGGAUCGACCCGCGCGCCAUGCGCCGGCUCUGCCUCGCGCGCUCCCGCGCCAAGGAGCCCGACGGCGGCGGCGGGUGGAGCACGCUCCUGUGCAUGGAGCCUGGGGGGUCCACCGUCGACGUCUUCAACGGCGUCGAGUUCACGUGGACCUCCGUCGAGACCGGCGGCGACGACAAGAAGGGGGGCAAGGGCGGCGGCAGCGGCUCCCCGCGGGAGUCCCUCGAGCUCAGCUUCGACGCCGAGCACACCGACAUGGCGCUGGAUCGGUACGUGCCCUUCGUCAUGUCCACGGCGGAGGAGCUGCAGAUGCGGGACCGCGCGCUGCGGAUCUUCAUGAACGAGGGCCAGUCGUGGCACGGCAUCAACCACCACCACCCGGCCACGUUCGACACACUCGCCAUGGACCCGGCGCUCAAGGACUCUGUGAUCGCCGACCUCGACAGGUUCCUCAAGCGCAGGGACUACUACCGCCGCAUCGGCAAGGCGUGGAAGCGCGGGUACCUGCUCUACGGCCCGCCCGGCACCGGCAAGUCAAGCCUCGUCGCCGCCAUGGCCAACUACCUCCGCUUCAACCUCUACGACCUCGACCUCUCCGAGGUGCGCCUCAACUCGUCGCUGCAGAAGCUGCUCAUCCACAUGCCCAACAAGUCGAUCCUCGUCAUCGAGGACAUCGACUGUUGCUUCGACGCUGCCGCGUCGAGGAAAGACGCCAAGGCGCCGGAGCUGGUCGAGGAACUGGACCCCGGCUACACAUCCGACUCGUCAGACGACAGCUGGCCGAUGAACACGCACCGGCAGGGAGCAGCUCCGCCGAAGGGUCUCACUCUGUCCGGGCUGCUCAACUUCAUCGACGGGCUGUGGUCGACGUGCGGCGAGGAGAGAAUCAUCGUCUUCACCACCAACUAUAGGGACCGCCUCGACCCGGCGCUGCUCCGGCCGGGCCGGAUGGACAUGCACAUCUACAUGGGUUACUGCGGCUGGGAGGCGUUCAGGACGCUGGCAAGGAACUACUUCCUCGUCGACGAUCACGAGCUGUUCCCGGAGAUCCAGGCGCUGCUCUCGGCGGUGGACGUGACGCCGGCCGAGGUGUCAGAGAUGCUGCUGAGGAGCGAGGACGUCGACGUGGCGCUCCGGGGGCUCAAGGAAUUCCUUCAGGAGAAGAGACGGAAGACAAGGAAAGAAGAAGGGUACAAGAAGGACGCAGCAGAAGACAAGGAGGCGGUAGCAGAGGAAGCAGUGUAGUUUCUUCCUCAGUGUUGCUUUGAGCUUCCCUUCAUGGUUCGUUUUAUUUCCGGAGCAGGGGAGCAUGAGAAUAAACAACGAGGCAAUAGGAAUAGUCGGGUUCCCUUCUGUAAGCUGUAGUGUUAUUGUUACGCUAUCCCCUGUUGUUGCAUGUUUGUGUUGCUCUUGUCUGCUAUUCUGUUUCAGAUGCAGAGCAAUCCCUGUAAUACUAGUCCAUGUUAACUCUGUCUUUGUUCAGUUGUCCCAUUUCUUCAUCUUUAAAUGUACAACAUAUCCAUUCUAACCUGUGGAAGCGAAUAAGGGAUGACAAUAAAAGGAAAAUAAGGCCUAAGUUCACCUGGUACACAUCAUGUACUACAGAUCAAAAUUCCUAGCUGGAAGAAGCAAAGUUCAUGCUGAAUAGCCAUGGUCCAUAGAGUGCAAAUAUAAAUCCUGCUACAGAGAAGAGACAGUGUGCCCAUGAAUUUCUCUAACAUUUAUCCAACCAUGAUCAGAUGGUUCAGAGGUUGUGGCACUACGACGAGCCAUUUCAAUUUUCAAAGGAUUGUACACUUGGACUGUCCAGUCAGUACUAGGCUUCCCUGAAAAGGUCCUGCCAGUUAUGAACUCCAGUGGACAAAACAGGCAUCUGUUUAAAUUAUACCUUUGGUGGACUUUGGAUAUAAAAAUUAAUAGAUUUGUUUCAAGUAUUACCAAACUAGCAUAUGAUAUAAAGGCAUUUUAAAAAUGAGAAGUCAUGAGCAGACAUAUAACAGGCAUCAAAUUAGAGAACAAGACCACAGCAGAGCUGUCAGCCAGCAACAAAAGAGUACCUGAACAGAAGAGACCAAAUUACAUCAAUCAAGCCCAUUCCCUCACCUCCAAAUAAUUGUAGUCAUCUUUCCACAAAGAAGGGGAUCUUGUGGUCGUUUACUACAGAAAAAUAUCCCAUUUUACUAACCCCCCCCCCCCCCCCCCCCAAAAAUCACUGGAUCCUGAUCCCAUUUUAGAAAUCUUACAUGAUCACUGAAGCCUAAAGGCGUUAUAUCAAGCUCAUUCGCCAGUAACCUCCACAUUGACUCAAAUAAACUGAUAUAAGUAUUCAAGAUGAUAAUUUAGAAACCCAACAAAAAAAAGGCUCACAAUGCAGAGUCACCAACAUGAAACUGAUGCAAAUCUUUCAUCAGGUAUCUGAUAGAACACCAACCAAAUUUGACAAUAGUACAAGGAAGUGGAAUCAGAAUAUUUGUUUUUUACACUGAUUACCCCAAAUCAGCGACUAAUUAAUGGAGGCAUAUCUAGAGAACUAUCAAAACAAACUUUUGGAGGCCUAUGCUAUAGAACUAUCAGAACAAACUUUUCAUCAGUGGUAGCAUUUCAACUAAUGCAGCUACGUACACAAUCGACUUUCUGCUACAAAUUACCUGCUGCUGCUUCUUUUCCAGCUAGUUCUACAUGCGACUGCAUUGAUUCACCUUCACGCAUUGCCUGCUUCUUCUGUCUGAGGAACUCUGUAAGCACCCCGAGAGCCACGUCGACGUCCUCGCUCCUAAGCAACAUUUCCGACACGGCAGCAGGUGUCGCCUCCACAUCCAAAAGCAGCUGCUGUAUCUCUGGGAACAGCUUGUGAUCGUCGAUGAGGAAAUAGUUCCUGGCCAGCGUCCUGAAUGCCUCCGACCCGCAGUAGCCCAUGUAGAUGUGCAUGUCCAUCCGGCCCGGCCGGAGCAGCGCCGGGUCGAGGCGGUCCUUGUAGUUGGUGGUGAAGACGAUGAUGCGCUCCUCGCCGCUCGUCGACCACAGCCCGUCGAUGAAGUUCAGCAGACCUGACAGAGUUAUGCGGGGCUGCGUGCGCAGCGCAGCCGACCGGACGAAUCGAUUUUGCGUGUUAGCAAUUCAGUUGUGUUCAAGAAUCAAGAAUCGUUGGUCCUAGGCAGUACGUAGCUUACCUCCGAGUUACCUUGACCUGAUCGGUAGGGAAUGUGAUCAGAAUCAGAGUCAUUUUUCUCUUUCCUUGACGCGGUGCUGAAGCAGCAAUCGAUAUCCUCGAUGACGAGGAUGGACUUGUUGGGCAUGCCGUUGAGCAGCCUCUGCAGCAUCGUGUUGUAGGACACCUCGGAGAGGUCGAGGUCGUAGAGGUUGAAGCGGAGGUAGUUGGCGAUGGCCGCGACCAGGCUGGACUUGCCGGUGCCGGGCGGGCCGUAGAGGAGGUAGCCGCGCUUCCACGCCUUGCCGAUCCGCCGGUAGUAGUCCGCUUCAGGAAUCGGUCGAGGUCGGCGACGACGGACUGCUUGAGGUCCGGGUCCAUGGCGAGCGUGUCGAACGUGGACGGGUGGUGGUGUUUGAUGCCGUGCCACGAUGAGCCCUCGUUGAUGAAGAUGUGGAGCGCGCUCUCCCGCCGCCGCGCCUCCGCCACCGUUUCCGUGAUGAAGGGGACGUACCUGCCCAGCGCCAUGUCCGUGUGCUCGGCGUCGAAGCUGAGCUCCAGCGACUCCGUCCUCACGUUUCGGUACCCGUACCCGUAAUCGUACUCGUUCCCGUUCCCGUGCUGGCUCUGCCCCGCCACGGACGCCCACUUGAACUCGACGCCCUCGAAGACGUCGGUCAUCGAGUCGCCGUGCUCCAGGGACAGGGCCCUCUUGCUCCUGCCGCCGAGGCAGAGGCGGCCCAUGGAGUGCGGGUCGAUCCGGGUGGCGAGAUACUCCCGCACGUCGUCGUAGAGGCCGCUGUCGGCGCCGCCGCCGCCGUAGAGGAGAGCCGCGGCGCUCUUGAUGACGAGGGUGCGGCGCUCCGGGGGUGGGGUCUCGAGGCGGGCGCGGACGAGGGACGCGGCCCAGCGCGCCGCGGAGAGGAGGUCGUGGGGGAGGAGCUCCCGCGCCAUGCCGCGCGCCAGCACGACGUAGGCGGUCACCGAGGCCGCCGUGCCCACCGCCUUCCUGUACGCGUCCACCGCCUUCGCGUAGGACGGCAGCCCCAGGGCCUUGGCCGCCGCUGGGGGAUCCAUCUCCAUUGCCGGAUCAGACUUGGCAAGCGGUUAGAGGGGGGCUAGGCUAGGUGUGCGUUGCCUUCUUAGCUAGGAUCUCGGCGGCGCCGGCGGCCUCGCCCCUCGAGUCGAUUUUUCUCUUUCCCAGCGAACAUCUAGAAGGUCUGGUCUGGUCCACUUCACGAUCCUCAGCCCCUCGAUUUCCAUCCAACCGCCGUCCGGCCUCUAGUAUCAACGACUCGGCUAACCUAAACCCAAAUUGCUCAUCCCGAUUCCUCCGUAGAAGAGUCUAGAGAACAUGACGGGUUGCUGACACUGAAAACUGAAGAAUGGACGGCAAAGGUUGCCAGGGUUGGAGAUUGAACAAGAUGGAGUCCUUUUCAUCCGAUAUCCUCACAGUCAUCUACAAUCUCAUGCGCUGGUGCGCCACAUCUAAUAUCAGACACUGACACGCACAUACACUGCCUGCGAAUCAGAACAGCACGCGGCAUGAAUAUCUUCAUGUUCUGAAUUUCUGAUGCCACAGAAGCGUCUAAAAACAUGGAAGGAAGCACCUGAACUCAGCUUUGCUGCCGAUGGCCACGGGGAGAAACUUUGGUUUGGAUGAAGCGUUCUCCAAUGAUCAUGCCGAAUGUUUGUAUUCUCAUGAUUAUGUGAAGGCCGCCUGAGGAACUCGCGCCCGGCGGCGUCGCAUCCGGGGAGCCGACGACGGGGACAAGCUGCCGGAGGAGGGGCAAAGUGGAGGUGGAGACACGGAGUAUGAAGCGCGGGCAAGCGAAAUCUGGCAAAUAAGUGAAGGGGAUAGAGCCGGUGAAGCGGAAGCCGGACCCCCGCGACGAGGCGGCCGUCGCCAUCGCCGGAGCGCAAGGGGAAGAGAGCACAGGCGGAUGAUAGCCGAAGGAGGGACUAUUUUGCAUAAAGAAUAUCCGAGCUAGGGGGUAUUAUGAAAAAUAUCGGAUCGCGAGGGGGUGUAUGAAAAUAGUUAGGGGGUUUUGUGAAACUAAUGGAAAGCUUUUAGGGGUCUUUUGUUCUGCCACCAACGGCGCCGACGAACUCGCCAUGGCGGCUCCGGCGUUCACCCGAGCAAGCCUCCAGGCCCCGAGCCCGCGACUCGCGGCUCAGAUCUACUCCGCACCCGAGAGAGGGAGCUUUCUUUCUCCAUCCCGUAAGACCGACCCGAACCCGCUUACGAAUAGAGUAGGACAUGAGAGAGGAAGACGGACGGACGCAGCGGCGGCGGCCAUGGAGCUCCUGGUGCCUGGUGCUGUGCGGCGCAACGAACGGCGGCCGUGCCAACGGGACAAAUGGCUCUGUCCCUGUCGCUGCUCGCCUUGGUGGCGGUGCUUUGGUUGGUGAAGCUGCUUCAGAGGCUUAGAGCAGAAGAGCGACAGCUUCAGAGAGCGAAGUAAACAAAAGAGGAGACGAUGUGGUUCUUCUCAUCAACCCAAACACGGUGACAGUCAUCCAUCCAUCCUUUAGUGUAGUUUAUGCAUUAUUUCUCUGGCCUCAGUGGCAGUGUUUCAGCACCUGUCAUCCCUCGACCAUUUCAUUCCUAGUCCAGAACUUUAGCAGCUAAACUAAGGGCCUGUUUAGAUCAGUUUGCAAAAACGUAAAAAAGCUGUAAACGCACAACCGCGAGACGAAUCUAAUGAGCCUAUUUAAUCCAUAUUUUGCAACAGUGAUGCUACAGUAACCAUCCGCUAAUUAUUGCUUAAUCAUGGAUUAAUUAGCAUCAUUAGAUUCAUCUCGUGAUUUACAACCCAUCCAUGCAAAAAGUUUUACAAAUAGACUUCAUUUAGUACUUCAAAUUGAUAAGAUUCCUUUGUAAAAAAAAUUGCGUUUUUCAAACUGAUCUAAACAGGCCCUAAGACUCUGUUUGGAUCAAAUGACUAAAAGCAAAAUAACUAAAAAUAUGACUAAAAGCAAAGUAACUAAAAGUAGUGAACAUCUCGUGUUUGGAUCAAGCGACUAAAACGAUGGGAAGGGAGUAAUAAAUGAGGGAAGGGCCCACAUGACUCAUGCUUUUAGCUCCUCUUUAGGGACUAAUGCGACUAAAACCUUUUUAGGGCCUGUUUAGAUCAGGACGCGAAAACGCAAAAACAUUUUUUCAAAGGAAUCUUACCAAUUUGAAGUACUAAAUGAAGUCUAUUUAUAAAACUUUUUGCAUGGAUGGGUUGUAAAUCACGAGACGAAUCUAAUGAUGCUAAUUAAUCCAUGGUUAAGCAAUAAUUAGCGGAUGGUUACUGUAGCAUCACUGUUGCAAAAUAUGGAUUAAGUAGGCUCAUUAGAUUUGUCUCGCGAUUUACAGCCCAUCCAUGCAAAAAGUUUUGUAAAUAGACUUCAUUUAGUACUUCAAAUUAGCAAGAUUCCUUUGGCAUCUUUGCGUUUACAGGUUUUUUGCGUUUUUGCGGAAGGAACUAAACAGGCCCUUAGUCACUUUGUUUGAAACUUUAGUCCUAAAAUGACUAAAACUUAAUCACUUUUGCUUUAGGAGGUGGGAUCCAAACAGGGUCUAAAUUGUAUCGAUGUGUCCAGAUCAAUUUGAACAUGACACGUUAUCCUAUUAGAAGCAUCGAGCUAAGACAAGCUGAGGAAAGAAUGAGGGAAAAAACUGAGUUUGCGUGGAACACGUCUACUGCAUCCAAGCGCUAUAUAUAGUUUGUGUGCAGUGCGUCAAUCCUUGCGAAAUUUAAGUAUGGGAUGUGUGUUUGAGUGUUGGCAAUCACCGUAGAUUGUGCUCGUUGAGAUGGCGAUUUGAAACAGCAAACUGCUACGAUCUGGUUGAGUAGACUGUAGAGUAAUUGAAGUAAGCGGACCAGCUCAGUGUCAGUGUUCGAAUCUGAUGAAGUAAAUAUGAAGUCAUCUACGCAAUUGAAACCUUUGUGGCUAUUGAUCUUGAUAUACUGCACAUUCAGAAUAAUGAUACGCUUUACAGCUCUGCAGCAGACAUGAACAACAGCAAGUCUGGAAGAUAGAUAGAUAGAUAUACUGCACAUUCAGAAUAACCAUAUGAAGGUUGACUGCAUCCAGGUGCCACAUUCAGGUGAAAGGCUGAAGUGGGUGAGGGACUCCCGAUGACGCGCAACGUGUUUCGGCUCGAUCGCCCUGGGACUGGGAUACAAUCAUACAACACGGUCAGCUCAUCGACGACGAGGUGGACGCCGUCGCGGCGGCGCGACCGGACGCCAACCGCAAGGUGCAGCGCAGCGCGUGCUGGUAGACCUGCUUGCACUGCCAGGACGUCGCAAAACAGCGCAUGAUCAUGGUCGGCGCGGAUGCGCUGGACCUGCCGCCGCCGCAGCCGGGGCAGCUGGCUGCCGGACACGCGCACGCGGUGGAAGCGGCUCGCGCUCCAGGCAUACGCCGCACCAUCGACUCAGGCGGUGCAGCAAGACACAUCCACACAGGAUGAACCCGCAAGAUCGUCGCGGCUUGCUCUGAGGCGGCUCGGGAUGGGACUAAUCCGCCGAGAUAACGGCGGCGUGCUCUGAGGCGGUCGUCAUGCGCGCGGCGGUCGGGACCUGUGACCAAACGCGCCCUUCGACGGCCGAGGAAGGUGGAAAGGGCCCUUUUCGUGAUUAUGCUCGUAAAUCUCGGCCGGACAAGUUCGAUCCAACGGUUGAUACAGCACCUAGGGGUGGUCGGUAAAUCAAAUACCGUCCACCCCUUGGGGUCCGUACGCCUCAUGCCGUCAUGCCACCGCCAUCGUCUACGGCAACAACGCCGGCACGCUGUCGUGACCUCCGCCACGUGAUAACUGGCGGAGGCAGAAGGGCCGCGCGAGGUUGCCGAACUGCCUCUUGUACCCUUCUCGUGCACCUCUCCACGGUCCCUCCUGUCCGGCACUGGAAAGACCAAGCCCUGCAGCCUGCAGCGCGGUCGCGCGCCACACAUCCAUCGGCGGCACACAUUGGCGUCAUCCGCGCGGAGAUGGUCCUAGGAUGGCGCAUGACUUUUCCGGGCGGCGCCGCCAGCAGCCUUCGGUUGCGUUUGCUUCGGCUGUGAGCUGUGGAAAAGCUGCUGUGAGAAAGCUGCUGUGAGAAAGCUGCUGUGAAAAAGCUGAACGCCGUUUGGUUCAAUCUGCUGUGAAACUGUGAAUUGCUGUAAAAUGUCCGUAAUGCCCCUGAGAUCCUGAUAUGCUGUAUAUAUGUAAAAUAAGCGUAAUGAUGUAAACUUUGCAUUGGCGACAUGUUUUUCACGAAAUUAUAUUACAUAUAUAAAUAAGUGCAUUGUUAAUUUCAAAAGAGUUGUGAGCUACGUAGUAAUCUCAUAUUCCCCUUACAUUUUCUGACGGUUGAUAUUAAACCAUAAAAAGCAAAAUAUAUAAUUGACUUGAAGUAUUUUUCCUUAAGAUUUUUUUUGUUUUAUUUUCAAUGAACAAACGUUUUGCUCAAUUUUUCGGUCAUGUAUCUGAUCAAUAUCAUAACAAAACGUUAUCUCGAAAUACCAAGAUAUUACGGAAAAAAUACAUGAAUAUAAGAUUUUUGAAUGGCUGCACAGCGUAAACUCAGAAUUUAGAACACAGCAGGAAUCUGAAGAAAGCAGAAUACAUUUCUCAAAAUUCAGACUUAAAACAAAAUUGAUAGGCGAUUAUCUUCUCCACAAGGGAGUACCAUUACACUACAGGAUCAUAGGUCCAAGACAUCGCUUCCAACAUUACACUUUUCAAACUCAAGCUUCAUAAUUCAUUCAAACAAAACUCAAGCUCCAAGCGCACGGCAGUGCCACCACGGCCCGGUCGCGAGUCACGACCGGGAGGAGACGGCGGCGGCGGCGUUGAGCCCGCGGGCGAGGCCGUGGACGGCGCCGUAGCUGCGGUGGCCGAGCCCGAUGCAGCCGAAGAGGAGCGGGGGCUGCGGUGGCCGAGCCCGGUGCGCGGGGGUGCGCGGCCGCCGGGGGUGCAGGGGGCGGGGCUGCCGGGGCAGCAGGGGCGCGGUCGCCGGGGGAGCGGGGGCGCGGCCGCCGGUGGAAGCAGGGGGCGGGGCCGCCGGGGGGCGGGGGCGCGGCCGCCGGUGCGCGGGGCGCGCGGUCGCCGGGGGAGCAGGGGGCGGGGCAGCAGGGGCGCGGCCGCCGGGGGAGCAGGGGGCGGGACCGCCGGGGCAGCAGGGGCGCGGCCGCCGGUGCGCGGGGGCGCGACCGCUGGGGGAGCAGGGGGGCGUGGCCGCCGGGGGAGCAGUGGGGCGCGGCCGAGGGAUGGGGAAGCGAGAGGAGAACGAACGAAAAAAAGAAUCGAACCGGCACGCUGUAACCGAUGGCAGGCGGGUAAAUAACUCCAUCUUCCCGCCGCAACGCUACGGAAAGCUGGGGCUGACCGGCUGUGGGAGCUCAACGCAAAAACGCAGCUGCGUUAGGAAAAGCAGCGCGCAAAUGCAAGGCGUUUGGUUCGCCUUUUGAUGUUCCCACCGCAAACGCAGGUUGUGAACGUUGAACCAAACAGACCCUUCAUCUGAUGUGGACGCCGUCGUGAUGGCGCGGUUCGACGCCGACCGCGAGCGGCAGUGCGUGCCGGUGGACCUGCUCGCUUUGAUGGGGAUCCAAGGCAAGGCGGUCAACGCGCGCCUGAUAUUUCCGGGACCAACCGACUCGCUGUCGCUGGACCCGGGGCCGCUGCAGCCAAGGUGGCCGGUGUUAUAACUUACGAAUCGACUAAGUGUUAGAUGGCUCGGUGAUUAGCUAAACAAUGAAAGUGCUUAAGACUAACCGAGAGUGAAACAGAGAGAGGGAGAGAGAUAUGGCGUACCUCCGGUCGAUGAGCCGGGUUCGCCAUUGUUGGCCACGGCGAAAUGAAGCUGAGCCGUAGUAGAGGUCGAGGAUGAGACUGCGGCGGCGAUGCGGUGCAGCGGCGGCGGAGCUUCCCGUCGCCUCAGCGGCCCUUAGAUCGGAUUGGGCUAGGGUUUUGGUGGGGCUACAGGCAACGCGGUGAACCUUGUACCGCGUGCCCCGGUCCCCACCUCUUCCUUUUAUUUUGGCGCUGCGCGACGGGGGCCCACAUGCCAUUGGUUUGGCUGUGCGCCCCCGAUCAGGGCACGUAAUGGACUCCGGAUCGGUCCAGUCCGGGGAUGAGAUCAAACUAACAUUCUCCCUUUUGAUCUCUACUCACUUACUCACUUCUUACAUCCGAUUUCAUUCAGAUUAGUGCAUUGAGCAUGCCUCAUCUCAACAGUUAUUACUGUUGGAUUAAUAGCCACAACACACUUUUCUGUUUGAAAUAGAACCUUACUUUUGGGCCCUUACUGUCCAGGAAUCAUAGUCUUUCCCGUAAACCCAUGCCGGCUAAGUGUUCUCUAAACACAUUGGGUGGUAAGCCUUUUGUGAGCGGAUCCGCUAACAUUUUCUUUGUGCUCAAAUACUCAAGACUAAUUGUAUGAUCCUGGAUUUGCUCUUUAACAACAUAAAACUUUAUAUCAAUGUGUUUAGCAGCUCCACUUGACUUGUUGUUGUGAGCGUAAAAUACUGCAGGCUCAUUGUCGCAGUACAUCUUUAGUGGUUUUUCUAUGCUGUCAACCACUCUUAAUGCAGGUAUGAAUUUCUUUAGCCAAUUAACCUGCCCCGAUGCCUCGUAACAAGCUAUGAAUUUUGCAUACAUCGUAGAUAAUGCAGUGACUGUCUGUUUGGAGCUUUUACACGAUAUAGCUCCACUAGGGAUUCAGAUCUCCUGUAUGUUAGUAUGAGGUCUUUCGUUCCUUGCACAUAACGCAAGGCUUUCUUAACCAUUUUCCAGUGUUCCAUCCCUGGAUUACUCUGGAAUCUGCCAAGUACCCCGGUGACAAAUGCUAAGUCAGGGCGCGUACAUACUUGAGCAUACUGUAGGCUUCCGACAGCUGAAGCAUAUGGUACCGCUUUCAUCUGAUCGAUUUGAUACUGAUUUCUAGGACACUGAAAUUUCCCAUAACUAUCGCCCUUGACUAUAGGAGCAGGUGUUGUCUUACUCGCAUGCAUACCGUACUUUUUUAGUACCUUUUCUAGGUAUGCUUUCUGCGAUAAUCCUCAAACCCACUUGCUUCUUUCUCGGUGAAUCUCAAAUGCUAAAACGAAUGAGGCUUCACCUAAAUCUUUCAUAUCAAACUUUGAGGACAAGAAUUUCUUUGUCUCCAAUAGCAGAUCAAUAUCACUGCUAGCAAGCAAAAUAUCAUCCACAUAGAGAAUAAGAAAAAUAAAUUUUCCAUUCUUAAACUUUGCGUAAAUGCAGUUGUCCUCCUCAUUUUCUUUGAAACCAAACUUUCUUACGGUUUCAUCGAAUUUCAAAUACCACUGUCUGGAGGCUUGCUUUAAUCCAUAAAUGGAUUUCUUUAGACGACAUCCCAUCUUUUCUUUUUCUUUCACGACAAACCUUUUGACUGUGCCAUGUAAACAUUCUCAUAAAGGUUCCCGUUCAGGAACGCCGUCUUUACAUCCAUCUGAUGUAACUCUAAAUUAUAAUGUGCCACUAACGCCAUUAUAAUUCUGAAGGAAUUCUUGCAUGAAACAGGAGAAAAUAUUUCAUUAUAAUCUAUCCCUUCUCUUUGCGUGAAACCUUUCGCCACAAGUCGCGCUUUAUAUCUUUCUAUAUUCCCUUUGGAGCCACAUUUUGUCUUGCAGACCCAUUUACAGCCUACUGUUUUGGCUCCUUUAGGAAUUUCUUCUAUAUCCCAAACAUCGUUGGUACUCAUCGAUUUCAUUUCAUCUUUCAUGGCUUCCAACCAUUCAGAUGAAUGAACACUUCUCAUGGCUUCUUCAAAUGAAGUGGGGUUACCCUCCAUCUAAAUUUCCUCGCUAUUAUAGAUUUCAUAAUCGUUCGAAAUAGCGGGCUUUCUUAUUCUUUGAGACCUUCUCGGUGGCUCAGCUAUCGGCACCUCUUCUACCUGGGGCUGCUGUUGCUCCCCCUCAUGUGCGGCUAUCGGUUCUGUCGGAUCCUGAAGGACAGGUUCCUGAUUCUGACUCGUCGCCGCAGCUGAAGAACUAACAAUAGGUGCUGACACCGUAGGUGAAGCAGCAACGGACAACGCGAAAAAUGGAUCUUGGAUCAUCGGAGUAGGUACAAAAACCCGCUUCUCCUCAAGGUCAAUCUUUCGAGCUACCGUACUCCCCUCAUCAUCUGAUCCUCCAAAAAGACAGCGUGUCUCGUUUCUACGAACUUUGUAUAUCCAUUAGGGCAGUAGAAACGAUAACCCUUCGACUUUUCUGGAUAGCCAAUAAAAUGGCAACUUACUGUCUUAGGGUCUAACUUUCCAAUACUUGGAUUAAAUACUUUCGCCUCAGCUGGACAGCCCCACAAAUAUAAAUAAUUUAGUGUGAGUUUUCUUCCUGUCCAUAACUCAUACGGUGUUUUAGGCACCGACUUACUCGGUACGCGAUUAAGAAUAUGAAUAGCGAUUUUUAACGCCUCCAUCCAUAAAUUAAACGGUAACGUGGAAUAGCUUAGCAUAUUUCUCACUAUAUCCAUUAAGGUACGGUUACGUCUUUCAGCGACUCCAUUUUGCUGAGGCUCGCCCGGUGCAGAGUACUGAGCUACUAUUCCAUUUUCCUGUAGAAACCUUGCAAAGGGUCCAGGAACUUGGCCAUACGGGGUGUGUCGACCGUAAUACUCACCUCCACGGUCAGAUCUUACUACUUUUAUUUUAGGAUUUUGCUGAUUUUCUACUUCAGCCUUAAAAAUCUUAAAUUUAUCUAACGCUUCUGAUCUUUAUUUAAUUGGAUAAAUACAGUCAUAACGCGAAUAAUCAUCUGUAAACGUUAUAAACGAAUCAUAACCGUCUACAGACUUUACAGAGUUUACGAGAAAUGAACCUCAAGCGCAAGGUCGCGUUCCCGGCUUCCCGUUGCCGGACGCGCGGCAGAAGCGUCUCGUGUUCCAGGCGGACGUGCCGCAAUGUGGACCUGGCGGCGCGGAAACACCAUCGGUGGCAAGCUUCAGUGGGGGCAUGGCGCCGUCGCCCAGAGGGCCGAGUGACCUGUGUUGUGGGGAACCAUGCCUUCCUGACCUCUGCCGGGGGCGAUACGUGCGUGUCGUCGGCCUUGUCGCCGCACUGCGCCGCUGCCCGCGCGAGCACGGAUUUCGUCGCGCUAACCAAGCACUCUUGCCACCGGCGUCGUGCUAGUUCUUCCUGUCUGCCAUCACAUGCGGCCGGAGCCAUCCGUGUAGCCGAACGGUCAUGGAUGCUGGUUUGAGGUCGAUUCGAGGUCAUGGACGGUGCCCGUCGCUGCUGCUGGAUGCAACCCUGGUCCAGUAGUGAACUCUACCUUGCUUGUACUACUGAGUACUGACAAGUAAGAGGCCUUGUGAUGAUGUUAAAUUCAAAUUGUAGCAGCGAAACAAAGAAUGUGCUGACAAGCAAGAUGCUUCAUCAAAUGCAUUGAUAUAAAUCUGUUGUCUGCUUUGCUGAAGGAUUCGUGCUUGAUUGGACCUCUAAUAAACGACUACGAAAUGAGAUGACAUGUAGAAUGAUUACUCUGCAUAAUACAGCUUACAGUGCGUAUUUUUUUGUAGCUAUUGUAAAAGCGGGGGACUAUGAAAUGAGAUGGGUAUGCAGCACGAUUCCUUUGCAGGCUGUCAUUCUUUGCAGUUCAGCUUCACCAGUAUAUGAUUUUCUUUGAGCAAAUGUAAAAAUGAGGGACUCGAAACAGUGCCCCUAAGUACUGACGGCUGCAUUCUUAACCUGAAGAUAUGACAACUCACAAUAGCAUUAUUCAUGCACGCGAAUUAUAACAGCAUUUAUCGCUACUUUUUCCCUUUGUUUUUUUCAUAGAGAGCUUUGAGUGUGCGCCCGAAAUGCUAGCAUAACGUACAGAGCGCAAGCUAUGCUCACUGUUCAUGCUGUGCUCUACUGAAGCCCAAAAACGAAUCAAGUGGAAUUGGCCAUCAGUCCAUCAUCAUUCUUGAGGAUGGUUGCCUGAUCUUGUAAUGCCGCGCCAUGACCAUGAACCCGAAAUAAAAAAACUAGAAAAGUGUGCAUUUCAGCUACUGAAUCCGUUUAGACUGCGCUAGAAAAGAUGGUUUGACCAAGUUGAUCCAUUGCUGGCCGGCCGGGAGCCCGGGAUCCUUGCGACGCAAGCCUCUCCUUGGGGCUUGGGCAAUGGGACUGCUGGUGCAGGCUGCGCCCCUACUCGGCUAUCCCUGCACGAAUCCUUUCGGAUAGUCGUAUCUAGUCCAGGAUACUGCAUUGACAUGUCUCCACCCCCAAAUCCCAAUCAACGGAGAGAGAGCAUGUGAUACAAAUAAAUCGGUUCGCAAAACAUGUUUCAAAUUCUGAAGACUUCCCCGAAAUAUUGCCAACGCAGGAGAGGUGCAAAGUAUUGUACGAGGUCUCACAAACAUUCUAAUGCUAAAGGUGAUUCAUAAUGCUGAUUCGAAUUGAAACUUUCAGACCAUGUGUUCUCUUAAGAAGAAACUUUAACCUGUGCCAAGGGUAAACUUUAACAUGUGUUUUCUUCAGACCAUCCUUGGUGGCUCUCUGGCAGUGGCUGGUAGUCUGUGUUCACGGGCCCCGACAAGACCAGAGUCCAUACGGCAAGUCAACAAAGGCAGCCAGGUAGGGUCCCGUCCGAAUUGGAGUAGUAUUGGACAAGCAAACGAGCUCGCCUGACCUGAUGGUUGCUUAUUUAUAUCCAAGUUUCACUCCCAAGUUCCACCAGAUAUUGCCUGGCAUCACAGAUUCACAGUCCAGGGCCCCGUUUAGAUCGCUUCCAAAUGUUAUAAUUUUUACGCUCUCUCUCCAUCACAUCAAUUUUAGGACACAUGCAUGGAGCAGUAAAUAUAUGUAAAAAAAUAACUAAUUGCACAGUUUAAUUGUACAUCACGAGACGAAUCUUUUAAGCCUAAUUAGACCAUGAUUAGAUAAAAUUUGUCAAAUACAAACGAAAACGCUACAGUAGCAAAAAGUUCCAAAUGUUAUACAAAUUUACAAUCUAAACGUGGCCCAGGUGCUCAAGGCAAGUGGGCGAGCUGCCAUGGACCUCUCGUCGGUGUUGGCGUCCCCGUCCUACGGCAAGGCGGCGGAGACCUACAAGAAGGCGGUGACCGUGGCGGCCGGGUACACCGUGCUGGCGCGCACCAUGGCGCGCGAGCUUCUCCCCGACGAGGUCCGCGACACGGUGCGCCGGGCCGCGUCCGUCGUCCGCGACCACAUCCUGCCGCGCCCCAAGCAGCGCCGCGUCAAGACCAUCUACAUCAGCCGGGACGCCGGCGACGGGACCCUGAACCGGUUCUACGCGGACGCGCGCGCGUACCUCGACACCGCACGCCAUGGGCGAGCUCUGCCUCGCCGUCCGCGGCGCGCGGCGGCGCCUCUCCAUGAUGCCCGGAGACUCGAUGACCGACGUCUUCGAAGGCGUCGAGUUCAAGUGGACCUCGACCUCGACUCGCCGCUCCCGCCGCCGCGGCCGCCACCACGACAACGACGGUCGCCGCGCGCCGGACGCGCUAGUGCUCUGCUUCGACGCGGAGCAGACGGACAUGGCGCUGGGCAGGUACGUGCCCUUCAUAAUCGCGACGGUCGGGGAGGAGCGGUGGCGGCAGUGCAAAAUCGAGAUCGUCAUGAACGUGGGCUCGUCCUGGCAUGGCAUCACCCACCACCACCCGGCCAAGUUCGACACGCUCGCCAUGGACCCCGAGCUGAAGCGGACCCUCAUCGCCGAUCUGGACCGCUUCCUCAAGCGCAAGGACUACUACCGCCGCAUCGGCAAGGCGUGGACGCGCGGGUACCUGCUCUACGGCCCGCCCGGCACCGGCAAGUCAAGCCUCGUCGCCGCCAUGGCCAACUACCUCCACUUCAACCUCUACGACCUCGACCUCUCCGAUGUGCACAGCAACUCGACGCUGCAGAAGCUGCUCAUCGGCUUGGAGAACAAAUCCAUCCUCGUCAUCGAGGACAUCGACUGCUGCUUCAGCGCCGCGUCGAGGGAAGAAAAAUCUGAUGACGCCGAGUCGGAUUCCUCAGACUCGGGCAAGGUACGUUCUUGAGGAAUAAAGAUCCAUGGCUCCUGAUUCUUGUAUACAAUUCAACGUGUUGAUUUCUGCAUGACGCUGACUCUGGUAACAAUGGAGCUUGGCUCGAGAGCUACUGACUGACUGCAACUCCGUUCCUAAAUGCUGCCGUCCGUCUAGGGACGGUCCGGCUCCGACGGACGGCGUCACUCUGUCCGGGCUGCUCAACUUCAUCGACGGGCUGUGGUCGACGAGCAGCGAGCAGCGCAUCAUCGUCUUCACCACCAACUACAAGGACCGCCUCGACGCGGCGCUGCUCCGACCGGGGCGCAUGGACAUGCAGGUACACAUGGGCUAAUGCGGCUGGGAGGCGUUCAAGACGCUGGCCCGGAACUACUUCCUCGCCGACGACCACGCCCUGUUCCCGGAGGUCCAGGAGCUGCUCUCGGCGGUGGAGCCGUGGAGGUGACGCCGGCCGAGGUGUCGGAGAUGCUGCUGCGGAGCGAGGACGCCGACGUCGCGCUGCAGGGGCUCGUGGAGUUCCUGCAGGACAAGAAGCAGCAGGGAGAGGCAAGCCGUGAUGGGAAGUAGUGGCGCCUUUGCAUCAAGAAUAAAUCAGGCCCUUGCUGUUGCAAGUCUUCCUAGCCUUUUCUGAUGCUUUAAUUCUCCUCGUAUUAUCUACUAGUUCUGUGUCAAGGUAGUGUUAGGGUUGUGGUGCUUCAGCUUCACUGAGGGUGCGUUCGAGUUUCCUCCCCUCUAAAAUUUAGACUUGUCAUAUUAAAGAGAAUAAGUAUUAAAUAAAAUCUGUUUAUAAAAUUUUAGACCCUAGGAAACGAACACACCCUAAAAUCUCCCGAUCCCAAUGAAAAACGAACACACCCUAAAACCCGAAACAUCUAAAAUUUAGAGGUCCGGCACCGAACAUCCCUCUAAUCCGGCCUCUAAUAAGACCGCGAUUCUUCAGAGAGAGCAAGCGCUAAAAACAGAGCCCUAUAAUGGAGAACAACGCACCCUUAGUAGCAACUUGAUUUCUCUUUGCCAUUGGCUAGAGUUUCUUGGAUGCCUAUGCUGUGCAGAUUAUUCUACGACGUUGUCCUCUCAAAUUGAUGCUUCCUGGUGUUUAUUUGACCAUUUGGUUUCAACUAUGGUGCUAAUGCAGUUCAAUACCCCCUUUUUUGAUAUUUUUUUCUCGUCAUGAUGGAACUGAUUUCGUAUAGGUUCGACUCUCCCAGGGAACUAGCGCAAGAUGCGCACCCUUUCAGAACACACGUUUAUUUUCCUUAUCCCAGAUUUCUUAACAGUAGCUAUGUUUCUCCAGUGUGCAGAACCAUAGUAUUUCUUUACUUUAUCCUAGCACAACGAAACUAAUGGCAUCAAUGUUUGCAACAUUGCAUGAUAGCUUUUUACUGCUACCAAGCUUGAAAAUACAGUAAUUCAUCAUCAUAUCUGUCUUUUUACAACGAAACUAAUUGCAUCAAUGUUUGCAGAGAAAUUCAGUUAUGUGUUUGAGUGAGUACUAAAGCUAAGGGCAAGUACAUGCGUUUACAUUUUUCUACCCUCACCGCAGCGUUGCAUCAUGAGCUGGUGCCCUAUUAGGCUAUUACACGUUUUUCUCCUUGCGUUUACAAAUUUGCACCUCUUUUGCACAGCAUUUGCCUCAAAGUUGCUCGCAGGUUUUUAGGGAGCAGAGAGCUGCAGCCGCCAAUGAGCCAAUCCUGAGCCAGGAUCAUUUACCCCAAGCUCUUGCGAGGCACGCCGCAUCUUGUCCGUUUGUCCUGGCCAAACUCUCGACGUGGGCCAGGCCAGUUUCAGCGAGCUGCCUCCCAAAGGCUGCACGGAAAAGGAUCCUGCGUGCUAGCGGCAGGGUAAAAGAAAAGCUUCAAAGGCCUCGUCUCCCCCUCGCAGGCUCGUGCAGCUUUUACAGUGCGUCCAACUUCCGAGUUCCAACGCACGGCGACGGAGCAACAGAUAGAUACAGGAACUGAGGAACAGGAGUCAGCGAAGAGCCGAGCAGGGGAUUACUAGCGCGUUAUUCCUUCCAACUUCCAACUUUUUACAAUCUCUCUCCAUCACAUCAAUUUUGGGACACAUGCAUGAAGCAGUAAAUGUAUGUAAAAAAAUAACUAAUUGCACAGUUUAAUUGUACAUCACAAGACGAAUCUUUUAAGCCUAGUUAGUCCAUAAUUAGAUAAAAUUUGUUAAAUACAAACGAAAAUGCUACAGUAGCGAAAAGUUCCAAAAGUUAUAAAGAUUUGCGAUCUAAGCGGGAGCUAGUAUGAUCAGGCUCGGGCGGCCGCGUGCGAGGAAAGAGAACGUCCCGUUGGAGAGCAAUCCGUGAUCCCGAGGACGUGAGCGGACCGUGAAGCCAGCCAUGGUCACGACUCAACGGCGCAGCUGCUCUACUCCGGCGAGCUCCUGUCCGCGCAUUGCGCCGGAAUGACCCGGCGGCCGGCGCCGCGCGACGUGCGCCGUGCGCGCCCCGUCGGGCCGGUCGGCCGGGCUCGAUCCAUGGUGGCCGGCGCACAAGUUAACCGGUCCGGGCCGAAAAAACGGUUUUGUGGACGGCAACUAAUCUUCAUUCCGGUCCGGGCUCCAUGCCAACUGCCAGCCACGGCCACGGCGCUGCACAGUGUGCACCCGGUGGCUGGCCUGGCUUGCGUGCUGGCAUUGGUCUGCCUUUGCCAACACCCAGCAGGCAGCAGCUAGGAGUGAAAAGGAGCAGCGAUGCGCAGAUGCGCUGCUGCUGCAGCCUGGAGAGACCGGGACAGCCUGAAGUCCUGAACCGAAUCGCUCUCGCGAUCGCUCCGCCCAGUCUCCGGCCAGCCGCCUGCCGGGCUCGGUCGGCGUGUCCCCUUGUCCGUAGCGGGCGAUGGGCCCGUCUCCCCUUCGGGGAAAGCAGCACAGUGAAAGGCUGAGAACGUGCCCCAGUUUCACCUUCCUAAUCAGCAAGGCGCUUGGUCCUUUUUAGUUUCCACCCCCUAAAAAAGCUGUAAAAAAAAUCUUGCUAAUUUGAAAUACUAAAUGAAGUCUAUUUACAAAACUUUUUGCAUGGAUGGGCUGUAAAUCGCGAGACGAAUCUAAUGAGCCUACUUAAUCCACGAUUUGCAACAGUGAUGCUACAGUAACCAUCCGCUAAUUAUUGCUUAAUUAUGGAUUAAUUAGCAUCAUUAGAUUCGUCUCGCGAUUUACAACCCAUCUAUACAAAAAGUUUUGUAAAUAGACUUUAUUUAGUACUUCAAAUUGGUAAGAUUCCUUUGUAAAAAAAAUUUUUUCCUAACGCCUGCCGAACUAAACACAGCCUAAAUACGUCGCACAAUACUGCAGCUACUACGAACUUAAUUAUUUAUCUUCCAUUGUUGAUAUUUUUGUGGGCAAAUAUCUGACUUGAUUCUUCACCUGUGAAAAAACUCAUUUUAAAAAAAAACUUAUCUCUCUCUUUUAAAAAACGGAUCAGUGAGUACCAAAGUUAGAGAACAAGCUUGUGUUUAAAGUAACAUCUGACUGGAAAAGGGAAAUUAAAGCCAGACAUACCAAUACUUUGGAUUCAGAAAACAAGACCACCAUGUUCGUUCAGUCAUCUUAGAAACACCAGUCAUUGACUAACUAAGGUCGAAGUGCGCCAAGUUCAUUCAGUCCGAUCCAGAUUUUAUAGCCACCUUCAGGAGUAACACGCAUUAAGACCGAAAAAUUAACACCCAAGAGUGUCUAAAAUCCCGGUUCUGAAACCGAAUACUGAAAUAAAGCAUCAUGCUCAUUUGAUCACCUUGAUAGCACUCAACGACAAGAACUUAAAUUACAAGUCCAUCACCAAAUCCACGUCCAUAAUGCACAAGCACCAGAAUGUGACUACAUACAAAAUGUUGACACCAGCAUUAGCAAAGUAGCAAGUUACACAUCUGAUAGUUUGACGUUACAAAACAAACUGAUUAGCCCAAAUCAUAUCAGUGCUAAACUUUAGCUGACGAACUACUAGAGUCUAGAGAACUGUCAGAACAGCAAUUGAAGGCUAGUAGUUGUAGCUAAUGCAGGACAAAGAAAUCAGGACUUGUCGACUGGAUCGAUCAGCAUUGCAAAACACAUAACCUGCAGCACACACACAAAAAAGGCUUCUUUCCUCGCUAACUUUCUGGUUCUUGAUGCUUUCAUGCGACUGAUGGCUAAUUGCCUUCACCAAUUGCCUGCUUUUUCUCUCCGAGGAAGGUCGCGACACCCUGGAGCGCGGCGUCGUCGUCCUCGCUGCGAAGCAGCAUCUCGGACACCUCGGCCGGCGUCACCUCCACGGCCGAGAGCAGAGCCUGUAUCUCCGGGAACAGCGGGUGGUCGUUGAUGAGGAAGUAGUUGCGGGCCAGCGUCUUGAAGGCCUCCCAGCCGCAGUAGCCCAUGUAGACGUGCAUGUCCAUGCGGCCCGGCCGGAGCAGCGCCGGAUCGAGACGGUCCUUGUAGUUGGUGGUGAAGACGAUGAUGCGCUCCUCGCCGCUCGUCGACCACAAGCCGUCGAUGAAGUUGAGCAGCCCGGACAGAGUUAUGUUAUGCUGCUGUGGCUGCGGCUGUUUGAUCGAGAUCCCAUGUUAGCAAUUCAUGGUCAGAAAUUAACUGAGGGCAUACUGUAGUCAAGAAUAAAAAAAAUUCUCUGUUCCUGCUUUGCGUACCGUGCCCCAGUGAUCUGGUAUGCUCUCUUCCUCAGAAUCAUCAUCCGUCACAGCGUCGCCUACCUGAUCUUUGCCAACUUCACGCGACGCGGAGGUGAAGCAGCAGUCGAUGUCCUCGAUGACGAGGAUGGACCUGUUGGUCAUGGUGUUGAGCAGCCGCUGCAGCACCGUGUUGCCGCGCACCUUGGAGAGGUCGAGGUCGUAGAGGUUGAAGCGGAGGUAGUUGGCCAUGGCGGCGACGAGGCUGGACUUGCCGGUGCCGGGCGGUCCGUAGAGCAGGUAGCCGCGCUGCCACGCCUUGCCGAUCCGGCGGUAGUAGUCCCUCCGCUUGAGGAAGCGGUCGAGGUCGGCGACGACGGACUGCUUGAGCUCCGGGUUCAUGGCGAGCGUGUCGAACGUGGCCGGGUGGUGGUGGUUGAUGCCCUGCCAGUGCGACCCCUCGUUCAUGUAUAUCCUGAGCGCGCGGUCCUGGCGACGCUCCUCCUCCACCGACGCCGUGAUGAACGGGACGUAGCUGCCCAGCGCCUUGUCCGUGUGCUCGGCGUCGAAGCUGAGCUCCAGCGACUCCGACAGGGCCCCGCCCCGGCCCUCCCCCGCGACGGACGCCCAGGUGAACUCGACGCCCUCGAAGACGUCGGUCAUGGAGUCGCCGUGCUCCAUGGACAGGACCCUCCUGGCGCCGGAGACGCCGCCGCUGAGGCAGAGGCGGCGCAUGGAGUGCGGGUCGAUCCGGGUGGCGAGGUACUGGCGCACCUCGUCGAAGAGCCCGCCGUCGCCGUCGUGGCGGGACGACCCCGCGGCGCGCUUGAUGACGAGGGUGCGGCGCUCCGCGCGGGGGCGCUCGAGGCGGGCGCGGAGGAGGGACGCGGCCCAGCUGGCCGCGGCGCGCAGGUCGUGGGGGAGGAGCUCCCGCGCCAUGCCGCGCGCCAGCACGACGUACGCGGCCGCCGUGGCCGCCGUGGCCGCCGCCUUCCGGUACGCGUCCACCGCCUUCGCGUAGGACGGCGCCGCCGCCGCCGCGGCGGCCGACGAGGCGGAGAGAUCCGUCGCCAUCGCCCCCCGCUCGAGGCUGCGGCGGCGCGCGCUUUAGUUUUUUUGGCAGGGGGGCACCGUGCGUGCUCUGUUUGCAGGAUCUAUGUAUCAGGUUUGGAAAUUAAUCUGGAGGCCCUAAUCUUGAAUUUACGGAUUUUCGAGAACAAGGAGGGGUUUAUGAAGUGCGCUGAAUCCGGCGGUGGUCGUUCAUGUGAUUGUUUAGGUGGCAGUAGAGCAUAAUAUGCAGUCGUGCAAGUAAGAAAGUCCGUAUUGUAGAGGAGAUGGACUCCUGUGCUUCAACUUCAAGUACUUUGUUUUUGGACCGUAAAAGCUGAGCCAGCAUUCGCGCUUUUCAACCUGACAAUGUGAGAUCUGAAAGCAAUAGAACACAAGUUUUUCAAAAAAAAAGAAGCAAAAGAACACAAUGAAACAGAAAAAGGCUAAGCUGCCGCAGAGAUUGUGUGCUACACUGCUGCUACCUUGUUUUUUCAUUCUUCUUUCAAAAACUGUGUGUUUGUGUUUCUGCUUUGGUGGGGUUUUUUUUGAAAGACAUGCCUUUUGCGUUCGGCUCGGGGAAUUUAGAUCGAUGCCAUUACGAGUGUGACCCUGGUGAAAUGCCAAUUUUUUCCGGAAGGAAACGCCAACGUAUCGUUGUGCCUGAUUCUUGUAUUUGCCAUGUUCCAUCCGAUUAAACUCAUUUUCCAGAUAGUAACAUUGAAAAGUGAACCUAGACUCUUAUCGAGCUGGCUUAGCUUAGCUUCCACUUAAUCGCCUCUAGAUCCAAUUUUUCCAACUAGUGCACAGGUCGAUCAAUGGCGACACAUUGGUGUUCUCGGAUCUUGUUAGAAGCAGCGGGAAAUGAGCAAACAAGUUGAUUAGGACGCUAGCAUUGUGCAAUCUGGUACCCGCAAUCGUAGGAAGGUAGAAUAGGUGUUUUUAGUUUCUCAACUUUGAGCAGAGGGUCAAGUUUAUUUUUUAACCUUUUGCCACUUUGCAAGCAAGGCAAAGCGAAGCAGAGGCGGAGAAAGGGGUGGCGAGGGAGAAGGGAGAUGGUGAUCGAAGGCAAGCUUCAGAGGGGAGGGGAGGAGGCCAUGGCGAUCUCGGCAGGGAGGGCGGUGCGGUAGGAGAUGAGCGAAAGCGAAAGGAAAAACGAUGGCUAACUAUGGUCAAUAAUUUUGUUAUAUGACCCUCUAAUUUAGAUCGUAAUUAUUAAUUGCGAUCCGAUUUAGGGGUAUAUGUAAUAUUUCGAUCCAAAUAUUUACAUAUACCUCCCUUGGAUCGUGAUUAAUAACGUGAUCCGAAUAUUUUCAUAAAACACCCUACAACGCAUCCACAAUUUUGCAGCGGCCACCAUGCCGGCGCAAAGGGUAAGGCGGGCCCGGAGAGGGGAGCUGGACGCCGGCGGCGCGACGUAGAGGAGGCCAACAACCUCGGCGAACUCUAGAGGAGAGAUGGAAGACCUUAUCCUGCCUCCGCCACCAGUCCUCCAUCGCGUCGAGGGACAGGAUGAGGUCACGAGGUCGAGGCUGACGGCGACGAGGACGAAACGGAGGGGCACGUCGCCGGCGAACGGGAGGAGCUCAAGAGGCUCUCCACGUCUGCCACCGCGUACGGGGACAAGAAUCCGCCGGAGGACGCUGCGUGAUGCCGCUCGGAGGGACGCCGCGAGGACUAUUCCUUGUCCGCUGGCAUCAUGGCGAGCGGCCGAGAAGCGGGGUCACGGCGGGCGCGCCACCGCCGAGACGAAACCCGAUUCGGUGGUGACGCAGCAGAGACGCUGGUGCUGACGGUCACGUGGAGAUCGCGGCGGCCAUCGAGGACGAGGAGAACUUCGUCGAGCAGGUGGCCAGGCCAGGCGGCAGCCCGUCAGCAACCUCCAUCCUGCCCGCCUGCUCCAAAUUGUUAUCGCAGUCGCCUUCAGUAAUCAGUAUUCACUCGCUAAUUCGAAAUGAAGUAGAACUGUGCUUCGAGAACCAAAAUGCCAUUCCGAAUUGCUGCAGCGCCUUGCGAUCGAAUUGCCAUUCAAAAACUGCCUUUUCCGUGCUGGCUUGAUUUUGAUCCCACCUCGUCUUUCUCAGUCAGGGACAGCGCACCAUUGCAGCAGCGUGAACACC
rnacentral:lncRNA from 1 species